rnacentral:rRNA from 1 species
UGGGGAAUUUUGGACAAUGGGCGAAAGCCUGAUCCAGCAAUGCCGCGUGUGUGAAGAAGGUUUUCGGAUCGUAAAACUCUGUCUUUUGGGGCGAACGUGAGUAUGGUGAACAAUCAUAGUCAGUGACGGUACCAAAGGAGGAAGCCACGGCUAACUACGUGCCAGCAGCCGCGGUAAUACGUAGGUGGCAAGCGUUGUCCGGAAUUAUUGGGCGUAAAGAGCGCGUAGGCGGGAUAGUCAGUCUGUUGUAAAAGUGCGGGGCUCAACCCCGUGAUGGCAAUGGAAACAGCUAUUCUUGAGUGCAGGAGAGGAAAGUGGAAUUCCCAGUGUAGCGGUGAAAUGCGUAGAUAUUGGGAGGAACACCAGUGGCGAAGGCGACUUUCUGGACUGUGUCUGACGCUGAGGCGCGAAAGCCAGGGGAGCGAACGGGAUUAGAUACCCCGGUAGUCCUGGCCGUAAACGAUGGGUACUAGGUGUGGGAGGUAUCGACCCCUUCCGUGCCGGAGUUAACGCAAUAAGUACCCCGCCUGGGGAGUACGGUCGCAAGACUGAAACUUAAAUGAAUUGACGGGGGUCAUAGCUGUUUCCUG